UACGGAGGGUGCGAGCGUUGUCCGGAAUCACUGGGCGUAAAGCGUGCGCAGGCGGUGAUGUAAGACAGGUGUGAAAUCCCCGGGCUUAACCUGGGAACUGCAUUUGUGACUGUAUCGCUGGAGUGCGGCAGAGGGGGAUGGAAUUCCGCGUGUAGCAGUGAAAUGCGUAGAUAUGCGGAGGAACACCGAUGGCGAAGGCAAUCCCCUGGGCCUGCACUGACGCUCAUGCACGAAAGCGUGGGGAGCAAACAGG
rnacentral:rRNA from 1 species